UACACAACGUGACGGAAUCACCUUUUAAAACAAUCAGACAAUAAAUCGAUAGAAGAUAAUAAAUAAUAAUAAUGUGGUUUUGAAUUUAGUUUAAUUGGAUUACUAGAACAUUUAAGUCGUAUUGUGAUAACUUAAUAUCUAAGUUCUUAGUGUACCUUCUUGGUGAAAGAAAAAUAUGGCAACAACGGAAGGUAAAGUUCAAGGCUUAACCCAAGAUGAAAAGACUCCUCUAACAACAAGCAGUGGUGACAUUGGUGAUUCAUAUACAACACAAAUUGUGUCACUAAAAUCACCGAUAUUGCCGCCGACACCCUGGUAUGGAGAUGUUUCAACAAUGGUUUCUACUCCAAAUAUCCAGCAUAUAGUUUUCGUUGCCUUUGGAUUUGUCGUACUUAGUGUAUGUGCGAUUUUUGUAGAAGCGCUCAUGAAGGAAUCUUUUUUCUUUUAAACCUUUGAGGGUUGAAUAAUUUUUACUUUGAAAAAGUUUGUGUUUUGUGUUCAUUCGAAAAUAAAAACUAAUAAGAAAACAAUAGUAAA